rnacentral:lncRNA from 1 species
AUGGAGACAUCCAGUAUGGUUUUCCGUAAAGGGAGACCAGCGAGGCCCAGAGAGAGAGGCACGGGCUGAGUUAGGUAAGUAGAGAUCCCAGAACCAACGCCCAAAGGGCAUCGGACUGGGUUGUGCACUGUCCAUCCCACCCAUGGUCACCAAGCAGGCUCCACUUUCAUACUGGCCACACCAGAGUGUCCCAUCACCCAGUAUAGGGCUCUAACAAUCAGGGCUCUAAUGUCCCGGGCUCUAUUACCCAGGGCCUAAGUGGUUAAGGUCAGUGUUGGUUUUUGGGAGGAGAUUUUAAACUAUAUACAGGUACACAAGCCUUUUAUCGCGACGUUUCGACAGCUUUCUGUGUCUUCUUCAGGCAUGACUUGUGUAAAAUAAAUGUUUUCUUCUCUGAGCUCAAUUUAAUUUUUUAAUUUUCUUUCUAAACACCAUGUAUGUGGUGGAGCAAAAAAUCAACUGUCAUCCUCUUCUCACUCGGGAGCUGUGUGUGCAGCUUCUUAUACCCCGAGCAGGGCCUAGGCUCCUCCCCUCUGUUUAUUUUUGAAUUUUUAAAUUUUUCAGAGCCUUUUCUUUGAAUAUAUCAAGCACUUUUAAGUGCAUUUUUUGAAUUUAAGCACUCUUUCAUCUUCCCUUACACUCUUAUAAGUUUACUUUUUUUGUUUUAGUGUACACUUUUUUUGUGUUACUAUCUUCACAGACCCAUUUAUUUCUUUUUCACUUUCACACACUUAUUUGUGUUUUUAGCAGCCCUUUGUUUUAUUUUACAACACAUAUUUUUGUGUUAUCUAUCACUCACGGCACCCCCAUUGUCUUUUCAACCUUAACUGUGCUUUCAUUCAAAAAAAUACACCUUUUUGUGCUAUGAUACAUCCCUCUUUUUAGCUCACUACUGUACAUUUUUGUGUAUCACAUUUAAACCAACUAUAUACAAAUUCUAUUUCCAUGACUCUUAACCCAUAUGUAUCUUUUUUGAUUUUUUUCAGAUGGAGACAUCCAGUAUGGUUUUCCGUAAAGGGAGACCAGCGAGGCCCAGAGAGAGAGGCACGGGCUGAGUUAGAUGGAGACAUCCAGUAUGGUUUUCCGUAAAGGGAGACCAGCGAGGCCCAGAGAGAGAGGCACGGGCUGAGUUAGGUAAGUAGAGAUCCCAGAACCAACGCCCAAAGGGCAUCGGACUGGGUUGUGCACUGUCCAUCCCACCCAUGGUCACCAAGCAGGCUCCACUUUCAUACUGGCCACACCAGAGUGUCCCAUCACCCAGUAUAGGGCUCUAACAAUCAGGGCUCUAAUGUCCCGGGCUCUAUUACCCAGGGCCUAAGUGGUUAAGGUCAGUGUUGGUUUUUGGGAGGAGAUUUUAAACUAUAUACAGGUACACAAGCCUUUUAUCGCGACGUUUCGACAGCUUUCUGUGUCUUCUUCAGGCAUGACUUGUGUAAAAUAAAUGUUUUCUUCUCUGAGCUCAAUUUAAUUUUUUAAUUUUCUUUCUAAACACCAUGUAUGUGGUGGAGCAAAAAAUCAACUGUCAUCCUCUUCUCACUCGGGAGCUGUGUGUGCAGCUUCUUAUACCCCGAGCAGGGCCUAGGCUCCUCCCCUCUGUUUAUUUUUGAAUUUUUAAAUUUUUCAGAGCCUUUUCUUUGAAUAUAUCAAGCACUUUUAAGUGCAUUUUUUGAAUUUAAGCACUCUUUCAUCUUCCCUUACACUCUUAUAAGUUUACUUUUUUUGUUUUAGUGUACACUUUUUUUGUGUUACUAUCUUCACAGACCCAUUUAUUUCUUUUUCACUUUCACACACUUAUUUGUGUUUUUAGCAGCCCUUUGUUUUAUUUUACAACACAUAUUUUUGUGUUAUCUAUCACUCACGGCACCCCCAUUGUCUUUUCAACCUUAACUGUGCUUUCAUUCAAAAAAAUACACCUUUUUGUGCUAUGAUACAUCCCUCUUUUUAGCUCACUACUGUACAUUUUUGUGUAUCACAUUUAAACCAACUAUAUACAAAUUCUAUUUCCAUGACUCUUAACCCAUAUGUAUCUUUUUUGAUUUUUUUCAGAUGGAGACAUCCAGUAUGGUUUUCCGUAAAGGGAGACCAGCGAGGCCCAGAGAGAGAGGCACGGGCUGAGGUUAGGUAAGUAGAGAUCCCAGAACCAACGCCCAAAGGGCAUCGGACUGGGUUGUGCACUGUCCAUCCCACCCAUGGUCACCAAGCAGGCUCCACUUUCAUACUGGCCACACCAGAGUGUCCCAUCACCCAGUAUAGGGCUCUAACAAUCAGGGCUCUAAUGUCCCGGGCUCUAUUACCCAGGGCCUAAGUGGUUAAGGUCAGUGUUGGUUUUUGGGAGGAGAUUUUAAACUAUAUACAGGUACACAAGCCUUUUAUCGCGACGUUUCGACAGCUUUCUGUGUCUUCUUCAGGCAUGACUUGUGUAAAAUAAAUGUUUUCUUCUCUGAGCUCAAUUUAAUUUUUUAAUUUUCUUUCUAAACACCAUGUAUGUGGUGGAGCAAAAAAUCAACUGUCAUCCUCUUCUCACUCGGGAGCUGUGUGUGCAGCUUCUUAUACCCCGAGCAGGGCCUAGGCUCCUCCCCUCAUGUUUAUUUUUGAAUUUUUAAAUUUUUCAGAGCCUUUUCUUUGAAUAUAUCAAGCACUUUUAAGUGCAUUUUUUGAAUUUAAGCACUCUUUCAUCUUCCCUUACACUCUUAUAAGUUUACUUUUUUUGUUUUAGUGUACACUUUUUUUGUGUUACUAUCUUCACAGACCCAUUUAUUUCUUUUUCACUUUCACACACUUAUUUGUGUUUUUAGCAGCCCUUUGUUUAGACUACUAUAUUAUAGCCUUGGUGAGCAUAAGAAAC